AGGCCUCAAGGCGCGAGGACAUCCUAUAACGCCCGGGUUUAGGGGGCACUUCGCCCGGCACCUCGCGCAGUCCUGGCUCCAGCAUAAGGCCGUGUCCUCGGGGCAGCGACAACCCCGCCGAGCGGGAGUCAAGAUUGUGCGAGUAUUAGGGGAGCAGAAAACCCCAACCAACGAGGGUCAGUGUCGCAAUAAUCACCCCAGGCCUCUCCCCCAAGAAGGCCCAGCCCCUUAUGGCAUCAGAUAAGCAGCCUCGUAUCAACUAAGAGAAUGAAGUAGACACCUUCAACCCCAAAGAUAGAAAAAGUGAAGAGAUGAGAAGUUUCAUGGGCUUCCCGAGCACAGCAGCCAGGGUGAAGCUUUUAAAACGGAACAUUCUCCUUCUUGGCUGGCAUAGCUGAGGCCAUCUCCCCGCACUCCAGCACCACGAGAGGAUGAGGGGCUGUGAUGACCUUGAAGCACUAGUGGUCACCCCCGGUGCUCAGCUGACCUCUCGCUGGCCCAGGUCACCAGACUGGUGGCCGAGGUGGGGGAACAAAGUCUGAUGAGACGACAAAGCACGCGUGAGCAAAGGAGGUAUGCUGGCCCCCGCGCGCACACACAUUGCCUUCAGGCCGGUGAGCAGAGCUUCAGGCGUGUGCUGAAGGCACAGCCAGGCCCAGCUCUGAAACCAGCUGUGCUCGUGGAAGAAGCACCCACGGCAGCAGUAGCAGCUGCAGCCCCCAAGGACAGAGAGCCCCCCCGCCAGAAGCAGAGCCAGGGCAGCAGUGGGGGGCCGGUGUGCCCAGCCAUCCCCAGAGCCCAUCCCUGCAGCACCUGCACACAUUCUGACUCUCCAGUUGGAGAACCAGGGCUGCCAGGCCUCAAAACUGUCAGUAA